AUUUAAAUAGCUUAUAAAAAGAGUAUGAUAUUGAAGAUAUCAGGGAGAUUAAAUAAUCUUUAAAUA
rnacentral:tRNA from 1 species